ACUUGGUGAGUUCCCACAUUUUUUUAUACUUUAUUGGGAAUUAUAACUUAUUAGGAGACAACUUAGCAAAGAAAAUAUUGUGUAUUACAAAGUAACAAAAUGAUCUUAAAAUAUAUCUCAAACUUUUAUUUUUUAUUUUAAAAAUAUAAUAUACAAAAAAUCAUGUGUAGUUUUGAAAUAACUUUAAAAAUAGUUAUCUUGGACUAUAAACAUCACCAAUAUAAAUACACAUUUAUACACAUUUGUAAUUUCCCUCUAUAAUCAAAAUCUUGUAUUAGAUUUUGCAAUGUAAAGAAACUCAUGCACCAAUUAAAAUCA
rnacentral:lncRNA from 1 species